UUACGGGCAAUGGGUGCAAGCCUGAUCCAGCCACGCCGCUUGAGUUAAGAAGGUAUUCGGAUUGUAAAGCACUGUAAGUUGGGAGGAAGGGCAGUAAGUAAAUACCUGGCUGCUUUGACGUUACCGACAGAAUAAGCACCGUCUAACUUAGUCCCAGCAGCCGCGGUAAUACGAAGGGUUCAAGCGUUAAGCGGAAUUACUGGGCGUAAAGCGCGCGUAGGUGGUUCGUUAAGUUGGAUGAGAAAGCCCCGGGCUCAACCUGGGAAAUGCAUCCAAAACUGGCGAGCUAGAGUACGGUAGAGGGUGGUGGAAUAUCCUGUGUAGCGGUGAAAUGCGUAGAUAUAGGAAGGAACACCAGUGGCGAAGGCGACUACCUGGACUGAUACUGACACUGAGGCAUGAAAGCGUGGGUAGCAAACAGG
rnacentral:rRNA from 1 species